UACGUAGGGAGCAAGCGUUGUCCGGAAUCAUUGGGCGUAAAGCGCGCGUAGGCGGCCCUGUAAGUCCGUUGUGAAAGUCAAAGGCUCAACCUUUGAAAGCCGAUGGAUACUGCAGGGCUAGAGUCCGGAAGAGGCGAGUGGAAUUCCUGGUGUAGCGGUGAAAUGCGCAGAUAUCAGGAAGAACACCCGUGGCGAAGGCGGCUCUCUGGGACGGUACUGACGCUGAGACGCGAAAGCGUGGGGAGCAAACAGG
rnacentral:rRNA from 1 species